rnacentral:lncRNA from 1 species
GAAACACCCAGAGAUUUAUCGAGAUGGAAGAUCCAGCAUGCCAGAACGUCGAUCCUGAAGAGAAGAAGAGCGGAAGCUACGAUGGUGGAUGACUCUGAAGGAUAAUUGUAUAUAAUAUCAUAGAUAUAUAUACAUGAUGAAGAGACAUGCCUCUAACCUACACCUGGAUCAAUGAAGUGGCACUCUUGCCACCUAAGAUCAUGUCAUAGAGAGCGUAUACUCAACACUCCUUUUCGAUCUCAAUGACAUGAAUCUGAGAUCACUUUCCCUCUGCAUCCAAGCACUCUAUCGUAUCCACGACAGAAAUCUGUCUCUGCUCGGUGCCUCCUCUCAGUGCCUUUGCCAGCGCCUUCUCACAGCAGCGCCUCACUCAACGCUCCAGUGGAGUCUCUGCUCGGCCAGCCCUCGGUGCCUCGUGCCUCUACGCCCGGCACUCACCUCUGGUGAGUCUCUGCGGGGUCUCGCACGCCCUAGCACCUCGUUCACGGCCUCUGAUCGCAGUCUCUCCUCUCUCAGCGCCUCUGCCUGUCUGCUCGUGCCUUGCACCACUCUCUAGUGCAGCACAGUGCUAAAUCUUGGCACCUCUCAGCCACGUCCGGUGGAUCGUCAUCCUCGCUAGCCUCCUCCUCGGCCAGCGCCAUCGUCCCAGGAUCUGAAGCCCUCAGGGCUCCGAUACCAUGAAGAGAAGAAGAGCGGAAGCUACGAUGGUGGAUGACUCAAAAGAUAAUUGUAUAUAAUAUCAUAGAUAUAUAUACAUGAUGAAGAGACAUGCCUCUAGCCUACACCUGGAUCAAUGAAGUGCCACUCCUGCCACCUAAGAUCAUGUCAUAGAGAGCGUAUACUCAACAGAUCCCUGCUCAAGCUCUCGCAACGUACCUCACGUGG